rnacentral:rRNA from 1 species
GGAUUAGAUACCCUGGUAGUCCACGCCGUAAACGAUGUGCACUGGAUCUUGGCGGCUCUGACGUCGUCAGGAUCAAAGCAAAAGUGUUUAGUGCACCGCCUGGGGAGUACGGUCGCAAGACUAAAACUCAAAGGAAUUGACGGGGGCUCACACAAGCGGUGGAGCAUGUGGCUUAAUUCGAGGCAACGCGAAGAACCUUAUCCUGGGUUUGACAUGUACGGAUUAGUUGCUGGAAACAGUAAUGACGCUCUUUGAGUGGAACGUACACAGGUGCUGCAUGGCUGUCGUCAGCUCGUGCCG